rnacentral:rRNA from 1 species
UGCCUUUUUUAAAAAUAUAAGGUCAGACCUGCUCAAUGCUUAAAGUAAAUAGCUGCGGUAACUUGACCGUACUAAGGUAGCAUAAUAAUUAGUCUUUUAAUUGGAGACUGGAAUGAACGGUUUAACGAAAAAAUGACUGUCUCUAAAUAAAUAAAUGAAAUUAAUCUAUAAGUUAAAAAGCUUAUAUUUUCUGGAGGGACGAGAAGACCCUAUAGAUCUUGAUCUUAAUUUUCUUAAUAAAAGAUAAAUUAAGAUUUUCUUGGGAUGAGACUCAUAAAGAAACUAUAGUAAAAAAAAAGAUAGAUUAAUCAAAUUUUAAUGAAACUAAAAAAGGAAAAAAGAAAAGUUACCUUAGGGAUAACAGCAUAAUUUGACUAUUAAGAACUUAUUAAUAGUAAAGUUUAUGACCUCGAUGUUGAAUUAAGUUUCCCUAUAAAAUGAAGAGAUUUUAAAAGUUGGUCUGUUCGACCAUUAAAAACU